rnacentral:rRNA from 1 species
AUGCACGCUGGCGGCGUGCCUAAUACAUGCAAGUCGAGCGAACAGACGAGGAGCUUGCUCCUCUGACGUUAGCGGCGGACGGGUGAGUAACACGUGGAUAACCUACCUAUAAGACUGGGAUAACUUCGGGAAACCGGAGCUAAUACCGGAUAAUAUAUUGAACCGCAUGGUUCAAUAGUGAAAGACGGUUUUGCUGUCACUUAUAGAUGGAUCCGCGCCGCAUUAGCUAGUUGGUAAGGUAACGGCUUACCAAGGCAACGAUGCGUAGCCGACCUGAGAGGGUGGUCGGCCCCACUAGAACGGAACACCGGGCCAGACGCCUAACGGAGGCAGCAGUAGGGAAUCUUCCGCAAUGGGCGAAAGCCUGAAGGAACAAAGCCGCGUGAGUGAUGAAGGUCUUCGGAUCUUAAAACUCUGUUAUUAGGGAAGAACAAAUGUGUAAGUAACUAUGCACGUCUUGACGGUACCUAAUCAGAAAGCCACGGCUAACUACGUG